GUGGAUAGGGCUGGUCCGAGUCGGAGAUGAUCUCGCAAGGCUAGGAUACGCCGGAGAUGAGCCGGAGAUGGCCAUAGAAUGUGAAUCGGAGGGAUUCUAAGCCAGGGUAUUCAAAGUCGGACCUUGGGACUUCAAGCAAAAGGAGUAUAAGGGCAUGUGGGGGUGAGUACAGGCCACCCAAGGCCUGAGAUGCCAUGGUUUCCGGUGAGAUAAGGUGGAAACUGGUGAAAAAGGGGCUAGGGUUUUGGAGAGGAGUAGAGAGGAUUUGGGACUGAAAGGGUUUCAGGGAUGGCUG
rnacentral:lncRNA from 1 species